UAUCGGUAGCACGGAGCGCUCCGUGCUACCAAGUUGUUUUCGAUGAUGCGGCUUCCAAAUCGACGAUCGGCUCCGUUAGACUUGAUUUACACUAUUGAAAGUAUUUGGAAACUAAAUUUCAAAUUUUUUCGACAUCAUUUGACUAGUGAUCGAAAGAUCUCAAAAUUGACAAUUUUAAUGGCCGAUGUGGUGUGUUUGAGAGUUUAACGGUGUAAAACAAUUCAAAUCCGAUGAAAAUUUUAUAGAAAAUUUUUUUCACUAUUUAGAGUAAGAUCAGUAUAUAUCUUGAAUUUAAAUUUUUUAUUAUCAUUUUUCAUGAGAUUUUUAUUUUCAGCCGUUCAAUUUUAGAGUACUUGUUUGAUAGGUACAUGAUAUAUAUAUAGAACUAGGCUGGAAUACUAUUAAUAGCAUCAAGCCAUUGGUGCUAUUAAUUUUGUAGCCCUUGGAUUGAGAAAUGUAUGAUUAGGAUGAUGUGGACCCCAUAGGGUUGAGUGGGUGGUUGGUUGAAUAGUAUAAUCUAACGGGUAAAAAUAAUUAAAGGGUUAACUCUAACGGUAGAAAACUCGAUAGCACCAACCCUUUGUGCUAUCGAUAGUAUUCCAGUCGGACUAUAUAUAUAUAUAUAUAUAGGCUAGAGCUACUAUACUCUUAUGAAUAUAGAGCCUUUCAUACUCAUAAGUUGUUUUCAAUGAUUGAGCUUCCGAAUUGACGAUCCACUCCGUUAAAUAUGAUCUAGAAUAUUUGAAACUUCUAGAAAGUAAAUUUCGUAAUUUUUCGAAAUCAUAAUAAAGUUCAUCAAGCGGGUAUAAAAUGAACGGUCAAAAUUGAACGACAUCUUAAAAAUUGAUGUUCGGAUCAUUCAAUUUAAGAUUGGAGUUAUUGAUUUUUAUCUAUGUAGUGAAUAGAAUUAUUUAUAGAAAAUUCAACCGAUUUCGAUUCUUUUACACCGUUAAACUAGCAAAUAUCCCAUACCGGCCGUUAAAAAUUGUCAAUUUUGUGACAUUUUGAUCGUAAGGUAAAUGAUGUUGAAAAAUUAUAAAAUUUGAUUUCUAGACGUUUUAAAUGCUCUAAAUAGCGUUUAACGGUGUGAAUCGUCGAUUCGGAAGCUCUGUCAUAAAAAAGAACUUAUGAGUACGAGGGCAAACGGGCUCCGUUGAGUUAGAAUACUAUCGAUAGCAAACGGGCUCCGUUGCCACCCAUUUGUUUUCAAUGAUAGAGCCUCCAAAUCGACUAUCGGUACCGUUGAACAUGAUCUAUACCACUUGAAGUGUUUAGGAAUCAAAUUUCAAAUCUUUUCGACAUCAUUUGCCUAAUGAUUAAAGGGUUUCAAAAUUUAUAAUUUUAAUGAUUGAUAUGAGGUUUUUCUCGUUUAACGGCGUAAAGAUAUCCAAAUCAAUUGAAUUUUUUUUAGAAAAUUCUUUAAACUAUUUAAAACAAGAUCUAUACUCUUGAUCUUGAUUACAAGACUCCUAUCAUCAUUUUUUUAAGAAUAUUCAUUUUCAGACGUUCAUUUUUGUGUCCACUCGAUGGAUUAGAGAACAAUAUCGAAAAUGUAUGAAAUUUGAUAUCUAAAUACUUUAAGAGGUAUAGAUCAUGUUCAACGGUGCCGAUCGUCGAUUUGAAGGCUCAUGAUCGAAAACAAAUAGGUGGCAAAGGAGCCUGUUUGCUAGCGAGUAUUCUAGCUCAACUAUAUAUAUAUAUAUAUAUAUAUAUAUAUGUAGCAGGACUACUAUGCUAUUAGAAGCGCAUAAGUCCUUAUACUCCUAAGUUUCUAAGCAUCUAUCAAUUUUGAUGAAUGGUUAGAGUAAGAGAGAGGAGAGAAAUUGGAGAGAUAUUCAAAGAGAAAAAAAUUUGAAAAAUCUAAUUUCUCUCCAAUUUGUUUUAUCUCUUUAAUUCUAAUCAUCUAUCAAAAUUGAUGAAUAAUUAAAAAUUUAGAAGUAUAAAUGUUACUGUACUUCUAAUAGCAUAGUAGCCUUGCUCUCUUUUUCUCUCUCUCUCUCUCUCUAUCUCUCUCUCUCUAUAUAUAUAUAUUAUUCAAAGUUUGUUGCCAGAGCGUCUCAUCUCAUUACACUUUCUGUAAAAUUACUAAACAAUUUAAGACUCAUCUUAUAUUUUUGACUAAUAAAUUAAUUUUGAUAUCAAAUAUAAUAAUACAGUACACAAAUACUAAUAACUCUCUUAGUUUAAAUUUCUGGUCCCGAAGCACAAGUAUUAACACUAGAGUUCUUAUUCUUCUUUUUCAUUCAUGAUUCUUUAUUCGAAGCUUUAUUCAUUUCAUAUAAAACUGUUAGAUGUCGCAUCAGAAACGUGAGAAAUAUUCCUACAAAAACAUUGGCGUCGGUAUAUAAAGCAUGCGGCCCUUGGCGCCUCCUCGCCAGCACAAGCGCCUCAAGUGUGUUAUUCACGAAAGUUCCCUUUUUUUGUGACAUGGCUCUGUUCUUGGGCACUCUGUGCAAUUGUUGUGUUCUUCUUUUGUUCUCCACUCUUUCUUUCUCUUUAUGUGUGUUGGGUAUAAAAUUAGAUGUUGAAUUNNNNNNNNNNNNNNNNNNNNNNNNNCAUUUUUUAUGAGAUUUUUAUUUUCAGCCGUUCAAUUUUAGACUACUUGUUUGAUAGGUAAAUGAUAUCGAAAAAUUAUGAAAUUUAGUUUCUAAAUACUUUCAAUAGUGUAGAUCAAGUCUAACGGAGCUUAUCGUCGAUUUGGCAGCCGCAUCAUCAAAACAACUUGGUAGCACGGAGCUCUCCUUGCUACCGAUAGUAUAGUAGCCUAGUUCUAUAUAUAUAUAU
rnacentral:lncRNA from 1 species